UUAAUACCCUAUAGUAAUGUUGGGUGGCAUCACCUGGUAUUUAAAGAUUUAUCACUUAAAGAUGGCUGUGCGGCUGAUUAGGUAGUUGGUGUAGGUAACGGCUCACCAAGCCAUCGAUCAGUAACUGGUGUGAGAGCACGACCAGUCACACGGGCACUGAGACACGGGCCCGACUCCUACGGGAGGCAGCAGUAAGGAAUAUUGGUCAAUGGACGCAAGUCUGAACCAGCCAUGCCGCGUGAAGGAUGAAGGCCCUCUGGGUUGUAAACUUCUUUUAUCUGGGAAGAAAUGCUUGUUUUCAAACGAGUUUGACGGUACCAGAGGAAUAAGCACCGGCUAACUCCGUGCCAGCAGCCGCGGUAAUACGGAGGGUGCAAGCGUUAUCCGGAUUCACUGGGUUUAAAGGGUGCGUAGGUGGGAAUGUAAGUCAGUGGUGAAAUCUCCGUGCUUAACAUGGAAACUGCCAUUGAUACUAUGUUUCUUGAAUUUUCUGGAGGUUAGCGGAAUAUGUCAUGUAGCGGUGAAAUGCUUAGAUAUGACAUAGAACACCAAUUGCGAAGGCAGCUAGCUACAGGGAUAUUGACACUGAGGCACGAAAGCGUGGGGAUCAAACA
rnacentral:rRNA from 1 species